UACGGAGGGGGCUAGCGUUGUUCAGAAUUACUGGGCGUAAAGCGCACGUAGGCGGCUUUGCAAGUCAGAGGUGAAAGCCCGGGGCUCAACCCCGGAAUUGCCUUUGAGACUGCAUCGCUAGAAUUGUGGAGAGGUAAGUGGAAUUCCGAGUGUAGAGGUGAAAUUCGUAGAUAUUCGGAAGAACACCAGUGGCGAAGGCGACUUACUGGACACAUAUUGACGCUGAGGUGCGAAAGCGUGGGGAGCAAACAGG
rnacentral:rRNA from 1 species